rnacentral:rRNA from 1 species
AACGAACGCUGGCGGCAUGCCUAACACAUGCAAGUCGAACGAGACCUUCGGGUCUAGUGGCGCACGGGUGCGUAACGCGUGGGAACCUGCCCUUAGGUUCGGAAUAACUCCCCGAAAGGGGUGCUAAUACCGGAUAAUGUCUUCGGACCAAAGAUUUAUCGCCUUUGGUUGGGCCCGCGUUGGAUUAGCUAGUUGGUAGGGUAAAAGCCUACCAAGGCGACGAUCCAUAGCUGGUCUGAGAGGAUGAUCAGCCACACUGGGACUGAGACACGGCCCAGACUCCUACGGGAGGCAGCAGUGGGGAAUAUUGGCCAAUGGGCGAAGGCCUGAUCCAGCAAUGCCGCGUGAGUGAUGAAGGCCUUAGGGUUGUAAAGCUCUUUUACCCGGGAUGAUAAUGACGGUACCGGGAGAAUAAGCUCCGGCUAACUCCGUG